UGCAAGUCGAACGGUAGCACAGAGAGCUUGCUCUCGGGUGACGAGUGGCGGACGGGUGAGUAAUGUCUGGGAAACUGCCUGAUGGAGGGGGAUAACUACUGGAAACGGUAGCUAAUACCGCAUAACGUCGCAAGACCAAAGAGGGGGACCUUCGGGCCUCUUGCCAUCGGAUGUGCCCAGAUGGGAUUAGCUAGUAGGUGGGGUAAUGGCUCACCUAGGCGACGAUCCCUAGCUGGUCUGAGAGGAUGACCAGCCACACUGGAACUGAGACACGGUCCAGACUCCUACGGGAGGCAGCAGUGGGGAAUAUUGCACAAUGGGCGCAAGCCUGAUGCAGCCAUGCCGCGUGUAUGAAGAAGGCCUUCGGGUUGUAAAGUACUUUCAGCGAGGAGGAAGGCAUUGUGGUUAAUAACCACAGUGAUUGACGUUACUCGCAGAAGAAGCACCGGCUAACUCCGUGCCAGCAGCCGCGGUAAUACGGAGGGUGCAAGCGUUAAUCGGAAUUACUGGGCGUAAAGCGCACGCAGGCGGUCUGUCAAGUCGGAUGUGAAAUCCCCGGGCUCAACCUGGGAACUGCAUCCGAAACUGGCAGGCUAGAGUCUUGUAGAGGGGGGUAGAAUUCCAGGUGUAUCGGUGAAAUGCGUAGAGAUCUGGAGGAA
rnacentral:rRNA from 1 species